rnacentral:SRP_RNA from 1 species
UGGCGGGUCUAGGCGGGGGGCUAGGGGUCCCCUGAACCGUAAACCCUCUACACGACGGGCUGAAUGCUUUGGCGAGGCGUCAAAGACCGUCAGGCACCUCAGUCCUCUAACCGUGACUAUCCGUCCUCUUAGGCUGGCGGUCAUGGAGCUGCCUUCGUAGGGAUGCAGUUCACCGUGUCUACCAGGCGAACCUGGCCAGGCCCGGGAGGGAGCAACCUAAGCUUGGACGUUCAGCGCUUAGGGGACCGCGGAUACGAGUUCAGAGGUUGAGGAAACUGGCGAAAACUGGGCGUCGAACCAAGGUGACCCGCCA